AUUAUUGUAUUUUACAGAUCAUUCAUUCAGGACAUGCUGCAUCUGGGGUUGGCAUCAUUUCCCUUUUGAAUGACAGAAUGUGCAUAAAAGUCUCUUGCCCACGCUGAACUCACACGUGCCCGACAGGAAGGAGCUCUCACGAAGUGCCAGCUGGAUGUGAGCUUGCUCUGGCAGCAGCAGUGCUGUCCUUGUUUCUGAGCUGCCACCUAUUCACUGGAGUUAGAGAAACCUUGUGGGAAAAUGGUGCCUAUUUUUGACAACUGGAUGUCUUUGUGGCCGAGGUCCCUAUGACCUUCCCCUCAAAAGAAUAUGUGUAGUUUUAGUUCUCAGACAUCUGGGCAUGUUCUUUUAAACUUCCUAAAGAAGCCCAUGAUAACUGGGAACACGGGCCCUUCACUGAGGCAGGAGAAUCACAUGAGCCACACAUGAUAUCCACUGGAGGAGACAGAAAGUCUGGGAGUGU
rnacentral:lncRNA from 1 species